GAACACGAGCUUGUGAUGAUUCUACAUGGCCGGAGACGAUGUUCUUGAUUCGCGAUUGAAUGGAUUCAACUCGAACAUCAUCAAGAAUCAGCCCUUUCUGGAGGUGCUUCCUGUGCCUCAUUUCCAAUUAUUUGUACUCACUUGAUUUGUGCAAGAAGCGGGGCGGGGCGGGCGCCGUUGGAAGCCGUUUGAGCGAGAGAAGCUCCUUCUCGGCAAGGCUCAAGACCCCAUUGGAGCAACUGCAGGCAACGAGAAUGAGGAGAAGCAGCAUUGUUUUUUCCCCUCAGAGAGAUAAGAGAAGGGUGAAAAUGUGGAGAGGGAAAAUGGGGUGAGAGAAGGGGUUUAGAGGGAGAAGAGAUUCUUAGGAAUUGGAGUUUGGCAUGACAACAAAAGGAGGGGUUGGCUGACGACCCCACAUUUGCAUGAGAAAUUAUUGGGAUUUCACGUGCAGAGACUUCAGGGGAUAAAUAAAUAAAAACCAGAAAAUAAUCUUGA